rnacentral:rRNA from 1 species
UCAUGCGGGUGGCUGCAGUGGGGAAUAUUCCUCAAUGUCCGAAAACCUGACGGAGCGACGCCUUCGUGGAGGAUGACGGCUCUCGAGAUGUAAACCUUUUAUACCACCACCGCAAGGUCCCAGUUCUCUGGGGGUCGUCGGUAGGGGGGGAAUAAGGGCCCGGAUCAGUACUUACCAGCAGCCGUUUUAAAUACGUAGGGUCCGAGCGUCGUCCGGGAAAUUUUUUGGGCGUAAAGAGUUCGUAGACGGGCUGGUCGCGUCUGCUUUUGAAAGACCGGGGGGUUAACUCCGGUUCUGCAGUGGAUACCCGCAUGCUAGAGGUACGUAGGGGAGACGGGAAUUCCUGUUGUAGCAAAAAAUGCGCAGAUAUCAAGACGAACAUCCGGUGGCGAAGGCGGGUCUCUCAGCCUUACCUGACGCUGAGGAGCGAAAGCAUGGGGAGCUAACAGGAUUAUAUACCCUGGUAGUCCAUGCCGUAAACGUUGGUCGCCUAUGGUCUGGCG